GACGAACCGUGCGAACGUUGUUCGGAAUCACUGGGCUUAAAGGGCGCGUAGGCGGUCGAUCACGUCCGGGGUGAAAGCUUUCGGCUUAACCGGAAAAGUGCCUUGGAUACGGAUCGGCUUGAGGGAGGUAGGGGCAAGCGGAACUUCCGGUGGAGCGGUGAAAUGCGUUGAUAUCGGAAGGAACGCCGGUGGCGAAAGCGGCUUGCUGGAUCUCUUCUGACGCUGAGGUGCGAAAGCGUGGGGAGCAAACAGG
rnacentral:rRNA from 1 species